UUCAUCUAAUGAACAUGAUCAUGACAAUCAUAAUGUGAUAUACAUAUCGGAAUGGAAAUUAAUCUAAAAUCUAAGCAUGGUAAAAAUCUAUAAUUAACCAAAUUAUUUGAAACAUGAAUAAAGUCAAAAUAAAAUAAAAUGGAUUAGGAUCUAACUGAAGAAAUGGGAAUAACUAAUGGUUUGGAUUGCACCCAGGUUCACCAUAAGGCCACGAUGCCAAACCCUUGAUCUCAGUAGUGUGCCAAGAAAGCUCCUUCAACAUUCCUCACGUUGUCAUCUCAAAAUCUUAGGUUUGAACGUGAUUUACAGAGGAAAUCUCCCAAGAAUUCAAAUUCGUAGCUCGAAUCGAUUUCGUGCUAAUCAACACAUGAGCGGCACAACCAAUAUGAAUCUGAGCUUCACACUCCGAUCCGACGAGCCAAGAACAAUCUCUGAAUCGCGUUCAAUUCCUCAUCAAAUCAAACUCCAAACCGAAACGGCGUUCUUCUUGUGCGUGAGAAGAGGAAGAAGCGACUUACCCGAUCUGACGCAAACCCCGGGUGACUCCACUUGGACUUUCCUCUUUGUAAUGACUGCAGAUUUAUGGCUAUCCUGCAGCUUGGUCAUAUGGUGCAGAACAAUUGCUUAUGGUCCUGACUUAGGUGUGUGUGUAAGAGCUUGAAUAAGUAAAUGCCAUUGUGUGCCCUGUGAAAAUUGGAGAUCGAUUAUAUGAAUCCGGAAUUCAUUUGCCAUGGUUUCAUGAAUAACAACAUUUGCAGAUAUUACGCAAAUUUAAAAUAUGGAUAAAUCUGAUACAGGAUAUGCAUGUAACUCAUUAGCUAUUUGCUUGUCGAUUAUAUUUUGCAUGCACGAUGUAUGGGCUUGCUGAUGUUGUUGUCCUUCCUAGUACUUUCGCACCAUAUCGCCUACAUGGAAAGUUUCUUACUACCAUAAUCUCAUGGCUGCAUAAGGUUGUUAAAAUGAGCAUUGUCUGCGAACCAAAUUACAUUCCUCUUUCUGUUGAAGUUAAGGAGCAACUUUUAUAUGCAAUUGAAGAGGUUGUGAAGUUGAAUAUUAGCCUUGUGAAUGUAAUUUUUGUUGUAAUUUUGGAAUAUAAAUGGUUUUGGAUUAGCCAUGGAUUUUUUAUUGGAUUUGGACUUGGCUAUUUUGUAAUGUAAAGUUUAUGUUGAAUUUGAUGUAUGGUUGUAAUUUGAAGUUGAAAUGUAAUAGUAUAUGUAUGGUAUUCGGGAAACCAUGAAUGAAUCUAGAAAUUGCAUUGUAAUGAAAUGAUUGUAUUGGAUUGGUUUAAAUGAAAAUGGAAAUUGAAUGGUUCAUGCUUGGAA